rnacentral:tRNA from 1 species
GGAGAGGUGGAUGAGUGGUUUAAGUCGCACGCCUGGAAAGCGUGUGUACGGUGUAAGCCGUACCGCGGGUUCGACAACCGAACAUCCGGUGAAUGUUCGGUUGGACGCCGGGACGUUUUAAGGCCCGGCGGUCCCGAGCCGGAGUGUGGCGAGGGAUGCGUGGAUCGCAGAGGCAAUGCGAGACGCGCACAAUCCCGCCCUCUCUA